rnacentral:rRNA from 1 species
UACGAAGGGGGCUAGCGUUGUUCGGAAUUACUGGGCGUAAAGCGCACGUAGGCGGAUUGUUAAGUUAGGGGGUGAAAUCCCAGGGCUCAACCCUGGAACUGCCUUUAAUACUGGCAAUCUCGAGUCCGAGAGAGGUGAGUGGAAUUCCGAGUGUAGAGGUGAAAUUCGUAGAUAUUAGGAAGAACACCAGUGGCGAAGGCGGCUCACUGGCCCGGUACUGACGCUCAUGUGCGAAAGCGUGGGGAGCAAACAGG